UGAGGAAUAUUGGUCAAUGGGCGAGAGCCUGAACCAGCCAAGUAGCGUGCAGGAUGACGGCCCUAUGGGUUGUAAACUGCUUUUGUAUGGGGAUAAAGUCAAUCACGUGUGAUUGUUUGCAGGUACCAUACGAAUAAGGACCGGCUAAUUCCGUGCCAGCAGCCGCGGUAAUACGGAAGGUCCGGGCGUUAUCCGGAUUUAUUGGGUUUAAAGGGAGCGUAGGCUGGAGAUUAAGUGUGUUGUGAAAUGUAGACGCUCAACGUCUGAAUUGCAGCGCAUACUGGUUUCCUUGAGUACGCACAACGUUGGCGGAAUUCGUCGUGUAGCGGUGAAAUGNAAGAUAUGACGAAGAACUCCGAUUGCGAAGGCAGCUGACGGGAGCGCAACUGACGCUUAAGCUCGAAGGUGCGGGUAUCGAACAGGAUUAGAUACCCUGGUAGUCCGCACAGUAAACGAUGGAUGCCCGCUGUUGGUACCUGGUAUCAGCGGCUAAGCGAAAGCAUUAAGCAUCCCACCUGGGGAGUACGCCGGCAACGGUG
rnacentral:rRNA from 1 species